rnacentral:tRNA from 1 species
GGCUUCGUGGCUCAGCUGGUAGAGCGCUUGCCGCGUUGAGGCAUGCUGUGUUUGUUGCUGGUUUGAAUCCAGCCGAAGCCC